UCCAUUCUAGUUGAUCUGAUUCUGUGUAAGAUCCCACCUGACAAAAGGGCUCUGUCAUAACACAGUCCGACAACUGCUGGUAAGACACAUCCGUGGUCCCCUGCAGUCAUCAUCGGCAGGAAAUUGAACAAGCAUCUUGGUUCCUCCAGCCUGGAACCUGGCAGUGGCUCUGGAUGUGCUGUUGAAAAGGCCCUGAGCCCUUCGAGUCAGCCACUGGCUUCUAAGCAUGGGCAGGUUUCAGGGUGAAAUGAAGGGACCUUCCUGUCUUGUCACCAGGUGGUGGUAAGUACUGGUCUAAUGUGCUGCACCCUGACCUCCUACCCACAUCCCCAGUCCUUCCUGGCACCUCUCCUGCUCGCCUCCUGCUCUUGCCUCCUAGUCCACCUUUCUACUCAUCCCUCAAAUCGGACGCUGGGCCAGGUAUUUGCCAACACGUGGCUCCUACCUCCGAGGCCGGAUGAGAACACCGCACCCUGCAUUUAGGACGUGUUCAGGAAGAUUUCUUUUUGGUCCCAGCGAUGGAACCCAGGGUGCAUAACAACUGAACCACAUCCCCGGCCCUGAUGCUGGCCUUCAAGCUUGCCAUCCUCCUGCUUUAGCCACCCAGGUCACUGGGAUUACAGGUGUGUGCCACUGCACCUGGCAAAAUCUAUGCUUUUAAAUACAACAGAGGAAUAUUAAAGGGUCCUUCAAAAAAGGAUCCAUUCAAAGCUA